AUUGAACGCUGGCGGCAUGCCUUACACAUGCAAGUCGAACGGCAGCACGGGAGCAAUCCUGGUGGCGAGUGGCGAACGGGUGAGUAAUAUAUCGGAACGUGCCCAGUCGUGGGGAUAACGUAGCGAAAGCUACGCUAAUACCGCAUACGAUCUAUGGAUGAAAGCGGGGGGAUCGGCAAGACCUCGCGCGAUUGGAGCGGCCGAUAUCAGAUUAGGUAGUUGGUGAGGUAAAGGCUCACCAAGCCGACGAUCUGUAGCUGGUCUGAGAGGACGACCAGCCACACUGGGACUGAGACACGGGCCUAGACUCCUACGGGAGGCAGCAGUGGGAAUUUUGGGACAAUGGG
rnacentral:rRNA from 1 species